GGGGGGGGGGGGGGGGGGGGGGGGGGGGGGGGGGGGGGGGGGGGGGGGGGGGAGGGGGUGCGGGGGGGGGUGGCGGGGGGCGGGGGGGUGGGGGGUGCAUCGGAGUCGAGUUUUGCGGGGGGGGUGGCGGGGGGGCGCGUACGCUACUGCCGCAUACGGCCUACGGGUGGGAGCAGGGGAUCGUGGGGGCUUGGGCGGCUCGAAGAGCCGGUGUCGGAUUGGCUAGUUGGCGGGGUAAGGGCCCACCAAGGCGACGAUCCGUAGCUGGUCGGAGAGGAUGAUCAGCCACACUGGAACUGAGACACGGUCCAGACUCCUACGGGAGGCAGCAGUGGGGAAUAUUGGCCAAUGGGCGCAAGCCUGAUCCAGCCAUGCCGCGUGGGUGAAGAAGGCCUUCGGGUUGUAAAGCCCUUUUGUUGGGAAAGAAAAGCAGCAGGUUAAACCCCCGCUGUUCUGACGGUACCCAAAGAAUAAGCACCGGCUAACUUCGUG
rnacentral:rRNA from 1 species